rnacentral:sRNA from 1 species
UUUUAGCCCCGAUAGCAGUGGAAAUCCUUUUGUGCCGGGGUUCGGCACAAAAGAUUGCUUCGCCAGUUCGCUUGCGCUCGGGUGGAACGGAUAGCGGGAAAAAGC